UACGUAGGGACCAAGCGUUGUUCGGAUUUACUGGGCGUAAAGGGCGCGUAGGCGGCGCGGUAAGUCACUUGUGAAAUCUCUGAGCUUAACUCAGAACGGCCAAGUGAUACUGCAGUGCUAGAGUGUGGAAGGGGCAAUCGGAAUUCUUGGUGUAGCGGUGAGAUGCGUAGAUAUCGGGAGGAACAUCUGUGGCGAAGGCGACACCCUGGACCAGCACUGACACUGAGGCACGAAAGCGUGGGGAGCAAACAGG
rnacentral:rRNA from 1 species